UACGGAGGGAGCUAGCGUUAUUCGGAAUUACUGGGCGUAAAGCGCACGUAGGCGGCUUUGUAAGUAAGAGGUGAAAGCCCAGAGCUCAACUCUGGAAUUGCCUUUUAGACUGCAUCGCUUGAAUCAUGGAGAGGUCAGUGGAAUUCCGAGUGUAGAGGUGAAAAUUCGUAGAUAUUCGGAAGAACACCAGUGGCGAAGGCGGCUGACUGGACAUGUAUUGACGCUGAGGUGCGAAAGCGUGGGGAGCAAACAGG
rnacentral:rRNA from 1 species